GAGUUUAAUUUUUGCUCCGACUGAACGUUUUCCAGUGGUUUUUCUUAAGGCAUGCAAAUCGUUAUUAAUUUCGGUUAAUAAGGUGUACGGGUGAGUAAUAAUAAAUAAGAUACCCUACAGACUUCGGUAAUAGAGGAUAGUUCUGUUUUUUUUUGUAAAGAAAUUAAGAAUAAAGGGACUUCAUUUAUGUUAUCUAAAAAUUUUUUAAAUUAUUUAGAAAUAUAAUUCCUACUGUAGGAUUCUAUUUAUCUUGAAUAGGUAGUUGAUAGGGUAAUGGCCUACCAAGCCUACGAUCAAUAGCCAGCUUGAAAGAGGGAUUGGCCACAUUGGGUCUGAAAUUUACCCAAGUAGUGCAUAACUACCAGCAGCCGAGAAUAUUUGUCAAUGCUCGCAAGAGUGAACAAGCCAACUGGAAUCACAACAACUUGUGAUAAAGUAAGGGAGGAUAAUGACGUUACCUUAUUAUUAGUGUCGUCUAAAAUUGGUGCCAGAAGACUCGGUAAUACCAAAUACACAAACGUUAGUCAUCAUAAAUAGGCGUAAAGGGUUUGUAGGCUGCUCAUAAAAACUAUAAAAUAAGAGCUAGAAUCAAAUAGAGGUCAAUAUCAUACCUAGUGAAAGAAUUAAAUCUGUAAAUAUUAGGGGGAAUACUAGAAGCGAAGGCGAUUUUCCAUUUAAUGAUUGACGCUGAGACACGAAGGUUGGGGCAGGAAAUAGGAUUAGAUACCCUAGCACUCCCAACUGUAAACGAUGAAUGGUAGGUGUUAAUUAUAUUAAAGUUAGCACCGAUGUGAACACGUUAACCAUUCCGCC
rnacentral:ncRNA from 1 species